CCUACGGGAGGCUGCAGUGGGGAAUAUUGGACAAUGGGGGGAACCCUGAUCCAGCCAUGCCGCGUGUGUGAAGAAGGCCCUCGGGUUGUAAAGCACUCUCAGUGAGGAAGAACGCCUGGUGGUUAAUACCCAUCAGGAAAGACAUCACUCACAGAAGAAGCACCGGCUAACUCCGUGCCAGCAGCCGCGGUAAUACGGAGGGUGCGAGCGUUAAUCGGAAUUACUGGGCGUAAAGCGCGCGUAGGUGGCUUGAUAAGCCGGUUGUGAAAGCCCCGGGCUCAACCUGGGAACGGCAUCCGGAACUGUCAAGCUAGAGUGCAGGAGAGGAAGGUAGAAUUCCCGGUGUAGCGGUGAAAUGCGUAGAGAUCGGGAGGAAUACCAGUGGCGAAGGCGGCCUUCUGGACUGACACUGACACUGAGGUGCGAAAGCGUGGGUAGCAAACAGGAUUAGAUACCCCUGUAGUC
rnacentral:rRNA from 1 species